AGGAGGGGGAGGAGGGAAGUGUAUGAGUGUGAGAAAAGCAUUGUCCGACAGACAGAUCUAGCCUUUAAGUGCAGGCUGUGAGGAGGAGAGUUGGUGGCAUCUUCUAGACGCUGGUGUAGGCUAAGGCCAUGAGGCUGCCCACAGCUGGUAGCCAUGCCUGACAUCACAGAGGGGACUCCUGUGUCUUCUGUGUCUCCUGUGUCUUCUGAGGUUCUUUACAUUGCUGUUUACCCUCCCUUUGUCUGUUCCAUGAAUUUCCACAACUGGACAAUAUGGAGUCUUCUACCCCACGGAGGAGAGGAUUCUGGGAAUGGUGACAGGGUAAUUGACUUAAGAUACACUGUCUGAGGACAAUAUGGCACUGUCACAAAUUAACCUAACAGAUACAGUACCUUUUCAUGGAGUGAUUGCGGUCUGGUGUGGGUGGGUUGGGAGACGUCAGCAAGAACCCGCUUAUGCCUGCAGAAGAGCCUGUCUCUUGCUGUGACCCUAAAUCUGGAGGGUAAUUGAUGAAUUCCAGGCAUAGUCAGCUACCAGCAAUCCACAAAGAUCCCCUUGGUGUGUGAUUCUCCUUAGAUAGAUUCCAAGAAAUGUCUAGACCCUCCACUUCUUGCUUGGACAGUUUCCUGUGCAUUCAGGAGAGGCUCUCUGCUCUCUGUGGCUCUCCAGUUCUCCCAUGCUCUGAGACAGGGGUGUGGCCGACUCUGCACGUUAUGCAUACAUAUCCACACCCUUUGGCAUCAUUCUCAGGACCUGGAGGAGGUUAGUUUAUAUCCGAGUAUUUACCACUGGUUUUUUUGUUGUGGUUUGCUUGUUUUUGACACUUAUUCCAUCCAGGUGCUUCCCUUGGGGUGAAGAGAAGAGGGCCAGGAAGGGGGAACAGCAGGAUCGAUACCCCAAAAUCUCAACUGUGGUCUCAGAGCACAUUCAAAUGCUCUGACCUUUUAAAAAUGAGACUUGAGAAGGUAACAAUCAGCCGAGUUGAAUCUACACCAGGAGUCUCCCCUAUCCCAGAUUCCAGUCUCUGUGUCUGUGUGUGUGUGUGUGUGUGUGUGUGUGUGUGUGUGUGUGUGUCCCCAGCUAUCACUUAUUCCUCCGCUCAUUUAUCACGCAGCCUUCCAAUCCAGUAGGGCAGAGGCAUCGUGGGAUAGAAAGUCUAAGAACCCCCCAGACAACUGCGUGCGUUCAGAGGGGAACUGCUCUCAGGAAAAGGACUCUGAAGGAAGUCAGCCGUGUAAGGGAAGACAAUGUGGCUUGUGAAGAAACAGAAGGGGACGAUGGAAGUGUAGCUCUGUCUUUGGAGACCUGGGGGAAGACCAGCGCCCAGCAAGGACAGCAAAUCAGAGCUUAUCCUCUUCCUUGGCCAGUGACCCCUGGAAGGGUCCUGUCAUCAGGCUGAAGGUGGAGAGAGGAAGAGGUGGAGGAAGGGAGGAGGAGAGAAAAGAGAGGAUGAGAGGAGAGAAGAACGAAGGAUGGAAGAGAUGGAAGCCAAAAGAGAGAUGAGUUUCCCAAGAUACUUCUGGAGGACUGAUGUUUAUAUGGCAGAUGCUCCACACUGGCCAGGGCCAGAGAGCAGGCAAUAGGGGCAGAUGCAGGCUUGAGUGGGCACCCGACCCAGCAUCCAGGAAGAGCAGACACCCGUGGGAAAUGCUGUGAAGACGGACAGGUGGGUGUGGGGAGCAAAGCCUCCAAGCCAAGGCUGGGGGGAGGCAGGGCUUUGGUGUCCCCACCCACCUUGAGUUGCUGAGCAUCUCUCUUGCUUCCUAGUCUAGAGCAGGAAUAGGGACAGAGCUGAGAAGUGACCCUCUGGUCUCUGACCCCAGAGAGGUCACAUUUCCUUAUGUGAUCCCAAUUCUUACACUCCCAACUGCCCAUAUUGUCAGUUCUGGGGAUAGCUGUCAAUAACCCCCCACAUUCCAGAUGUUGCUCUCAACAGCUUUCCCGAUCUCUUCUUGCUCAGACAGAGCCCGCUCUCUCCACAGGACGUAUAUCUUACUACAUCCCUCCCGUGGCAACCAUCUCCCGAGGGGCCUUGUAGGCAAAGGGAUUUCUUGAGGUGUCCCUGGGGUUGUUGCCCCCUCCCUAGAGUCUCUCCCUCUCCUUCCUCACUGUUUCAAUGCUUGGCAUUCUGUCAGUCUUCACAUGGGUUGACUGGGGAGGGAGGGAGGGAGGGAGGGAGGCAAGGAGAAGCAAGGAGAGGGAGAAGAACACUUUCCUCAUAGUCUACCCCCUGGUCUCCACUGUGACACACCACAGCCUCGUCACUUCUCACUAGCGUGCUCCUGCUUCACAGCAGUUGACUGGCAGGGAGCUCUGUCUCCCCUGUGCUUCCCCAACUGCGCUGAGGCUGCUGCCCAUGCGUUCGGACAUCUGUCAUGGCUCCUCACUCUUAUGGUGUGUUCUGCUCCCUCCCAGCCCAGGCUUCCUCCUUUGUAUGACUCACCUGACAGAGUCAGCUCUGAUCAGGUCAAAAUGUGAGAUUUUUGUCCUACACAGAAGGGAAGCAUGCAUCACAGCGUCCAGCUCUAUUUACAGAUCAGCCCUCCUUACAGUCACCACCCAGCUCAGGAUAGCCUGCCAGCUCAGUCCCCAAGCCAGUACUACCUGGCCCUCCCUCCAACAUUGGCAGCACCCACCUGGCCCUCCAGUGUGAGGAAGGCAAGGACCAUGGCUGCUCUGGAUUCCUGGGGAACACUUUACAGUUGCUAAUAUAUAAAACCACAGUUCAGCUCCCUGCACUCUGGCCCAUGUGGCCCUGAUCUCAGCUUAAGGAUGCUGGUGAAUGGAGAGACGUGUGGUUGUCCAAGAUGCUAGGUGGCAUCUCCAUUGGCCCCGGUCACAGAGCUGAGGAGUGAGGUUUCUUCUAACAAGCUUGGUCUGAGUCAGAGAGACCUGUCAGAAGAUGGAUUUUAUGUCAGCUGUCCCUACUUGGUCUAAAUGGAGAGCAAUUCUGAUUGUCAUUCCACUUGCCUUCUGGCACUAUCCCCACCAUCUCUGACUGAACCACAUCUUACCAUGUGGUAAGCUUCAGUUUUUCAAGCCCUACUUUCAAUAAGGGUUCUUAAAAGCUUUAACCUCCCUUCUAGCCUACAACUCACCAGAGGUAGUGGGAUGAAAGGUAGAAUAUGGGGGAAGUGGAC